CCUUCACACAGUUCCAGAUUUCAUGUAGUUUAUAGCUUUAUUCUCCGUUUAUUGGAUCUCAAACAUUUUUCUUGAUUUAUCUACCUUGGCGACCGAAUGUCGAUGCCUUUCUUGGAUCUCCUUAAUUCCGUGGACAUUACUCAUGACCUUUAAUUUGGGUCUCCAUCAUAGGAAACCUAGGUCACGAGUCCAUGUUUAGGCCAUCUUUAAUUUGUUCUCCCAAAUGCUUUAUUUUAUUUUUUUCUCAAUCUCAUGAAUAAGUUGUUCUGUUCGUUGUUGGAGGACUUGGUGGCCGGUGACAAGAAGUGAUGGUGGAGUUGAUGACUAUAGCGCUUGCUUUCUAAUUAAAUUGCAAGGUGCUGAAUGAUCUUUUGCCCUCUCUCUCUCUCUCUCUCUCUCUCUCUCUCUCUCUCUCUCUCUCUCUCUCUCUCUCUCAAAGUAACACAUCUUUCGUAGCUGUAUAUUUGAGUUUAUUUGGUUAUUUUGAUGCGUGUUUUAUUCGAAUUCAUGUAAGUCGAGGGACGGGGUGGCCGUUGAAGCCAUCAUCGUAUGAAGGUAAGAUUUCCCUUCUCAUCCUGAUUCCAACAGAUUUUAAUUUCUCUCUAUUUUUCACUACUGUGAUUUUCUUUUGGAGAAUUGGGUGGUAUCAUCUUCAAGUUCACGUUGGUAGGUUCACCCCUCUCCUUAAAUUUUCAGAUUCCUCUCCCCUGCAUGGGUUCUUGGGAAUCAGUGACUUCUACCAUGAACUCAGUUGGUAUUGAGAGCAAAGGAGAGGAGCAUUCUAUCUUUUCUUAUGCGAUACGAAGAAAAUAGUGUGCUGCUUCAUAGUGCCUUUACCAUGCCCCCAGCAAAUUCAAUGCACCAGUUUUUUUUACCAAUUAUUAGUUGAAAGUUACGCUUCUAUUAUUUUCCUGAAUGUGGGCUUAUUUUACUGCUUCUCAAUUUGCUCUAUUAUUUGAUGCAGCUCAAUUAUUAGGUUGCUGAGAAGAGUUUAGAUGCUGAAUUGAGAGCAUUGGUUUUCAGUCCUCGACUCAUGGAGGCAACAUAUUAUUUUCAUUUCCUCUUUGCCUAACCUUACCUUUACCAUCCUACGUUCCUCUUUACCCCUUUUAGCAUGUCACUGAAUAUGCAUGUCAAAUCCUGAUCUGUUCUCAUACUUGGCUAGUAUAGCUUGCAAUAAAAGCAUACAUUUUCAAGGCUAUAUUUCGGAUGGGGUUAUUGAAAAGGUUGACUGGAGACUAGCUGGUUGGAACAGGGUGGAUCUGCCUAAGGGUGAUAGGAUUUCUUUGUUCAAGAGUACUCUUGCUAAUUUGCCCAAGUAUUUCAUGUCCUUACUUUUGCUUCUAGCGAGUUUAGCUAACCACCUAGAAAGGCUAUAGAGGGACUUCGUUUGGGGUGAGAUAGGAGAAAAGUUUAAAUUUCACUUGGUAAGCUUUGCCAAAGUAUUCUCUGACUCCUUAGGGUGAGUUAGGAGUUUAGAACUUGUGUUCUUGAAUCCUUUUGGUAAAGUGGCUUUAGCACUACUAGAAUGAGAGAGAGGUUGUGGGGAAUGGUUGUAAAUGCUAAGUAUGGAUGUUUGUGGGCGCUAUGGUAUUCUAAUGAGAUCCAAGGACCUUAUGGGUUGUGAUUAUGGAAAAACAUCAGGUAACGAGGUGUGAAGUUUUCUGAGCAUACUAAAUUUGUCGUGGUAGAUGGUGAAAGGACUAGUUCCUGGUGUGGAGAUUUGGACCUAUACAAUAUUACUCGUCAUUUUAAAUUUCGCAAUUGCUAAUCAUAUUUGUUGAUAUAUAGAUGUAUAUGACUUAAAUUUAAGUAGAUAAAAAUGACGGAAAUGAAACACAAACAGGAAAAGGAUGCAUUACAAAAAACUGUUCAUGCAGGUAGUGAAACAGACCAUCUGCUAUUAGCCUAUUAGGGAAAUGCUUGAUUAGACAUAUACACGCUAUGUUUGUCCAGAAACGUUAAUAAUUGGUAAGAAUAUUCAAUGCGAUCCUAUAUUAAUUUACACUCAAUGCUAAUUUUUAUUAUUAUUAUUAUUAUUAUUAUUAUUAUUAAUCAGCUUUUUUAGGUGUACUGGAAAUGAAAAACACAGACACAGAGCAGGAAACAGAGUCUUCAUCGAGAGGGGUUUUCAAGUUACUUGGAGAACCUGCGAUAGUUACUAAUGGGUAGCACAAUUCGAAUAGUAUACUCGGGUAUUUAGAGAGAUCAUUUCUCGGCUUCUAUCCCUGGAUUCUUCAAAGGAUUGCCAGACGUAUACAAUGCAUUCAAAAUUCCAAAUCCAUGAUGGGCGCACUUUGAGAAAUUCUUAUGUCAUGCCUUCUCACCUUUUAGCUGGUGGAGUUAUUGGAUCAAUCCUGGUGGUCCUUUGCUUGUUUUGGGUUGUUUUGGUAGAAGAAGAACUAUCCAUGAAAGAAAUGGUCAGAAAGCUAACGACAAACACAAUGUAAAGUAAAAUAAUUAUCCAUGAAUAAGAGCUUUCAUGUAAUGUGAUUUGUGUUUUU